GAUGAACGCUGGCGGCGUGCCUAAUACAUGCAAGUCGAGCGAACAGACGAGGAGCUUGCUCCUCUUACGUUAGCGGCGGACGGGUGAGUAACACGUGGAUAACCUACCUAUAAGACUGGGAUAACUUCGGGAAACCGGAGCUAAUACCGGAUAAUAUAUUGAACCGCAUGGUUCAAUAGUGAAAGACGGUUUUGCUGUCACUUAUAGAUGGAUCCGCGCCGCAUUAGCUAGUUGGUAAGGUAACGGCUUACCAAGGCAACGAUGCGUAGCCGACCUGAGAGGGUGAUCGGCCACACUGGAACUGAGACACGGUCCAGACUCCUACGGGAGGCAGCAGUAGGGAAUCUUCCGCAAUGGGCGAAAGCCUGACGGAGCAAAGCCGCGUGAGUGAUGAAGGUCUUCGGAUCGUAAAACACUGUUAUUAGGGAAGAAAAAAUGUGUAAGUAACUAUGCAGGUCUUGACGGUACCUAAUCAGAAAGCCACGGCUAACUACGUG
rnacentral:rRNA from 1 species